UGCGCAGGCGGUUUGUUAAGUGAGAAGUGAAAGCCCACGGCUUAACCGUGGAACGGCUUCUCAUACUGGCAGACUAGAGUAUGGGAGAGGGAAGUGGAAUUUCCGGCGUAGCGGUGAAAUGCGUAGAGAUCGGAAGGAACACCCGUGGCGAAGGCGGCUUCCUGGACCAUGACUGACGCUGAGGCACGAAAGCGUGGGGAGCAAACA
rnacentral:rRNA from 1 species